rnacentral:hammerhead_ribozyme from 1 species
ACCCAACUAACGAAUCGCAAAUAGGACGAAACGCGCUUCCUGGAU